UUACGGUUAUAUCACGUUGAAACACUGGUUCUCGUACGAUCACCAAAGUUAAGCAACGUUGAGCCUGGACAGUACUUAGAUGUAUCGCUUGAGAAUAUCAGGUGCUGUAAG